rnacentral:tRNA from 1 species
CGGGGCGUGGCGCAGCUUGGUAGCGCGCUGCUCUGGGGGAGCAGAGGCCGCAGGUUCAAAUCCUGCCGCCCCGA